AAAUGUCUUGUUUGUGACAAGAAAUUAUAUAUAUAUAUGUGUGUGUGUGUGUGUGUGUAUACAUAUACACACAUACAAAUAUAUAUAUUUA
rnacentral:miRNA from 1 species